AUUGAACGCUGGCGGAAUGCUUUACACAUGCAAGUCGAGCGGCAGCGCGGGGCAACCUGGCGGCGAGCGGCGAACGGGUGAGUAAUGCAUCGGAACAUGUCCAUGUCGUGGGGGAUAGCCCGGCGAAAGCCGGAUUAAUACCGCAUACGCUCGAGAGAGGAAAGCCGGGGACCGCAAGGCCUGGCGCGAUUGGGUUGGCCGAUGUCCGAUUAGCUAGUUGGUGAGGUAAAGGCUUACCAAGGCGAUGAUCGGUAGCUGGUCUGAGAGGAUGAUCAGCCACACUGGGACUGAGACACGGCCCAGACUCCUACGGGAGGCAGCAGUGGGGAAUUUUGGACAAUGGGGGCAACCCUGAUCCAGCCAUUCCGCGUGAGUGAAGAAGGCCUCGGGUUGUAAGACUCUUUUGUCCGGUAGCGAACGGAAGU
rnacentral:rRNA from 1 species